rnacentral:rRNA from 1 species
CGGGGUGAGUAAUGUCUGGGAAACUGCCUGAUGGAGGGGGAUAACUGCUGGAAACGGUAGCUAAUACCGCAUAACGUCGCAAGACCAAAGAGGGGGACCUUCGGGCCUCCUGCCAUCGGAUGUGCCCAGAUGGGAUUAGCUAGUAGGUGGGGUAACGGCUCACCUAGGCGACGAUCCCUAGCUGGUCUGAGAGGAUGACCAGCCACACUGGAACUGAGACACGGUCCAG